UCACGAGGCUGUAGUUUGGUCUCGGUUGUUGUCGUGUCUGGAUAUAACGCUCACGAAUACAUAAUAACAGGACACGGUGAACAUUCGCUUGAUUUUAUAUUGGCUUUUAAAGUCCGGAAGACGGGUUCGAGAACGACAGGUUGCCGUACGAUUACACGAGCAUCCUGCACGCGACGUCGCAAGUGCGACCCGACGUCGUUAUCGACGUAACCAAGCCAGCCGUCACCAGGAACGACGGCUUGAAUGACCUCGGGCAACGUUCGUACCUUACAGACUUGGACGUGCAGCGCAUUACAGACCGCUACUCCUGCGAGGUCUGCAGCAAGCCAGGCAGCGAUGAUGUUCUAUACGAAUAUCCUGGCGACUGCACCAAGUUCAUUCAGUGUUCGAAUGGCCAAGAGUUCGUGAUGCAGUGUCCUGACGACCUCCACUUCAGCGUACAGCAGCAACAGUGUCUCUAUCCUGGAGAUGCUAAAUGCACUAUCUACUACUCUACACUGUAGAGUAGUACUCUACCAGAGCUGGGCAGCGCUACUUUGAAAUGUAGCGGCCGCUAC
rnacentral:lncRNA from 1 species